rnacentral:rRNA from 1 species
GAUGAACGCUAGCUACAGGCUUAACACAUGCAAGUCGAGGGGCAGCAUUUUAGUUUGCUUGCAAACUAAAGAUGGCGACCGGCGCACGGGUGAGUAACACGUAUCCAACCUGCCGAUAACUCGGGGAUAGCCUUUCGAAAGAAAGAUUAAUAUCCGAUGGUAUAUUAAAACCGCAUGGUUUUACUAUUAAAGAAUUUCGGUUAUCGAUGGGGAUGCGUUCCAUUAGUUUGUUGGCGGGGUAACGGCCCACCAAGACUACGAUGGAUAGGGGUUCUGAGAGGAAGGUCCCCCACAUUGGAACUGAGACACGGUCCAAACUCCUACGGGAGGCAGCAGUGAGGAAUAUUGGUCAAUGGACGAGAGUCUGAACCAGCCAAGUAGCGUGAAGGAUGACUGCCCUAUGGGUUGUAAACUUCUUUUAUAUGGGAAUAAAGUAUUCCACGUGUGGGAUUUUGUAUGUACCAUAUGAAUAAGGAUCGGCUAACUCCGUG